GGAUGUGAGGGCGGUCUGGCUGCGACAUCUGUCACCCCACUGAUCGCCUGGAUUGAUUCAACUGAUCUGGCUGCCUAGGCGGGUGUCCCCUUCCUCCCUCACCGCUCCAUGUGCGUCCCUCCCGAAGCUGCAAGCCCAGUUGAAGACUGGAAUAGAGAUGGACCGGUCUUUGGUGGAGGGUAUACGAGUAGCUGCGCUCGCCUGCUAGAACCUCCAAACAAGCUCUCAAGAAGUCUACUUAAGAGCUCUGGUUGUGAGGUAUAUCUGACUUGGUUAAAUCAUUGACAUGUCAAU
rnacentral:snRNA from 1 species